rnacentral:rRNA from 1 species
UACAGAGGGGGCAAGCGUUGUUCGGAAUUACUGGGCGUAAAGGGCGCGUAGGCGGCCUGCUAAGUCGAACGUGAAAUCCCCGGGCUCAACCCGGGAACUGCGUCCGAUACUGGCAGGCUUGAAUCCGGGAGAGGGAUGUGGAAUUCCAGGUGUAGCGGUGAAAUGCGUAGAUAUCUGGAGGAACACCGGUGGCGAAGGCGACACCCUGGACCAGCACUGACACUGAGGCACGAAAGCGUGGGGAGCAAACAGG